UGGGGAAUAUUGCACAAUGGGCGCAAGCCUGAUGCAGCCAUGCCGCGUGUGUGAAGAAGGCCUUCGGGUUGUAAAGCACUUUCAGCGAGGAGGAAGGGUAGUGUGUUAAUAGCACAUUGCAUUGACGUUACUCGCAGAAGAAGCACCGGCUAACUCCGUGCCAGCAGCCGCGGUAAUACGGAGGGUGCAAGCGUUAAUCGGAAUUACUGGGCGUAAAGCGCACGCAGGCGGUUUGUUAAGUCAGAUGUGAAAUCCCCGCGCUUAACGUGGGAACUGCAUGUGAAACUGGCAAGCUAGAGUCUUGUAGAGGGGGGUAGAAUUCCAGGUGUAGCGGUGAAAUGCGUAGAGAUCUGGAGGAAUACCGGUGGCGAAGGCGGCCCCCUGGACAAAGACUGACGCUCAGGUGCGAAAGCGUGGGGAGCAAACA
rnacentral:rRNA from 1 species